CCAACCUCACCCAAUCCCAGCGCGAAACCGCCGUAAAAAAAGUCAAGAGCGGCCAAGCUCAAAUUUUGCUGCUUUCCCCGGAAUUCCUGGUGGCAUCCGGAACUUUUUCCCGAUUUUUCCGGAAUUUUCCUCCCGUUGCUUUCGCCUGCCUGGAUGAAGCUCAUUGCAUCUCCCAAUGGUCCCACAAUUUCCGUCCUGCUUAUCUCAGGAUUUGCAAGGUUCUCCGGGAGCGUUUGGGUGUUGGUUGUUUCCUGGCUCUCACCGCCACAGC